rnacentral:rRNA from 1 species
UACAGAGGGUGCGAGCGUUAAUCGGAAUUACUGGGCGUAAAGGGCGCGUAGGCGGUUGAUUAAGUUGGAUGUGAAAUCCCUGGGCUUAACCUAGGAACUGCAUCUGAUACUGGUCAGCUGGAGUGCGGUAGAGGGUAGUGGAAUUUCCGGUGUAGCGGUGAAAUGCGUAGAUAUCGGAAGGAACACCAGUGGCGAAGGCGGCUACCUGGACUGACACUGACGCUGAGGCGCGAAAGCGUGGGGAGCAAACAGG